UACGAAGGGGGCUAGCGUUGUUCGGAAUUACUGGGCGUAAAGGGCGUGUAGGCGGUCCGCUAAGACAGGUGUGAAAUUCCUGGGCUCAACCCAGGACGUGCGCCUGUGACUGACGGACUUGAGUCCGGGAGAGGAUGGUGGAACUCCCAGUGUAGAGGUGAAAUUCGUAGAUAUUGGGAAGAACACCCGUGGCGAAGGCGGCCAUCUGGACCGGUACUGACGCUAAGGCGCGACAGCGUGGGGGAGCAAACAGG
rnacentral:rRNA from 1 species